GGUAGCGUGGCCGAGUGGUCUAAGGGCGCUGGUUUUAGGCGCCAGUCCUUAUUAGGGCGUGGGUUCGAAUCCCACCGCUGCCA